UGAGGAAUAUUGCUCAAUGGGGGAAACCCUGAAGCAGCAACGCCGCGUAAAGGAUGAAGGCGCUUUGCGUUGUAAACUUUUGUAGUCGGGGACAAAUUGGGAGUUACUACUCCCUUGAUGGUACCCGAAAAGUAAGGAUCGGCUAACUACGUGCCAGCAGCCGCGGUAAUACGUAGGAUCCGAGCGUUGUCCGGAUUUACUGGGUGUAAAGGGUGCGCAGGCGGACUGGUAAGUCAGAGGUGAAAUCUCGUCGCUUAACGACGAAACUGCCUUUGAUACUAUCAGUCUUGAAUCCGGUAGAGAUCUGUGGAAUUCCGAGUGUAGCAGUGAAAUGUGUAGAUAUUCGGAAGAACACCAGUGGCGAAGGCAGCAGAUUGGGCCGGUAUUGACGCUCAGGCACGAAAGCAUGGGGAUCAAACAGGAUUAGAUACCCGGGUAGUCC
rnacentral:rRNA from 1 species